rnacentral:rRNA from 1 species
AUGGUUGUCGUCAGCUCGUGUCGUGAGAUGUUGGGUUAAGUCCCGCAACGAGCGCAACCCUUAAUCUUAGUUGCCAUCAUUAAGUUGGGCACUCUAAGGUGACUGCCGGUGACAAACCGGAGGAAGGUGGGGAUGACGUCAAAUCAUCAUGCCCCUUAUGACCUGGGCUACACACGUGCUACAAUGGACGGUACAAAGAGUCGCUAACUCGCGAGGGUAUGCUAAUCUCAUAAAACCGUUCUCAGUUCGGAUUGUAGGCUGCAACUCGCCUACAUGAAGCCGGAAUCGCUAGUAAUCGUAGAUCAGCAUGCUACGGUGAAUACGUUCCCGGGCCUUG